rnacentral:rRNA from 1 species
AACGAACGCUGGCGGCAGGCUUAACACAUGCAAGUCGAGCGCCCCGCAAGGGGAGCGGCAGACGGGUGAGUAACGCGUGGGAAACUACCCAUCUCUACGGAAUAACGCAUGGAAACGUGUGCUAAUACCGUAUACGUCCUUCGGGAGAAAGAUUUAUCGGAGAAUGGAUGAGCCCGCGUUGGAUUAGCUAGUUGGUGGGGUAAAGGCCUACCAAAGCGACGAUCCAUAGCUGGUCUGCGAGGAUGAUCAGCCACACUGGGACUGAGACACAGCCCAGACGCAUACGUGAGGCAGAAGUGGAGAAUAUUGGAAGGUGGGCGCAAGCCUGAUCCAGUCAUCCCGCGUCAGUGAAGAAGGCCCUAGGGUUGUAAAGCUCUUUCACGGGUGAAGAUAAUGACGGUAACCGGAGAAGAAGCCCCGGCGAACUUCGUGCCAGCCGCCGCCGUAACAC